rnacentral:tRNA from 2 species
AGGGCUAUAGCUCAGCAAGGUAGAGCACCUCGUUUACACACCGAGAAGGUCUACGGUUCGAGUCCGUAUAGCCCUA